UUCCUUCGUGAUGUCAAUAAGUAAAAGACAGCUUGGAAAUUUCAAGUGAUAGUUCUUCAUACCUGGAAAACAUGGAUCUAGCUGAUAUCAAAGGAACAAAGAAGACCAUCAAAUGAGUCUUUGAGAUGACUGAGAUUUUACAUGGAAUCAAAGAGGAAGAAUGUUUUCAAAGAAGGCAAAGAACAAUCAAGAGUCAAAGUACAACAUUUCUUUCAAAUAAGAUGGAAAGAGAUUCACAUUUGAAACUCCUCUUUCGUUUUCUAAAAGGUCCAACAUGUGAUGAAGAUUGAAGAACUUACAAAGUUGGUCUACGAGACAUACAAUGAUGCAUGUUCGGCAAAAAAUUUAUUAGA